rnacentral:rRNA from 1 species
GACGAACGCUGGCGGCGUGCUUAACACAUGCAAGUCGAACGGUGUGGCGAACGGGUGAGUAACACGUGGGUGAUCUGCCUUGCACUUCGGGAUACGCUUGGGAAACUGGGUCUAAUACCGGAUAGUGCAAGAUGAGCUCGCGGCCUAUCAGCUUGUUGGUGGGGUGAUGGCCUACCAAGGCGACGACGGCUAGCCGGCCUGAGAGGGUGUACGGCCACAAUGGGACUGCGAGACGGCCCAGAGGCCUACGGGAGGCAGCAGGGGGGAAUAUGGCACAAUGGGCGGAAGCGUGAUGCAGCGACGCCGAGUGGGUGAUGAAGGCCUUCGCGUUGUAAACUCCUUUCGACAGGGACGCGGUACCUAUAUAAGAAGCACCGGCUAACUACGUGCCAGCAGCCGCGGUAAUAC